GCACCCUUAGCUCAGUUGGAUAGAGUCGCUGACUUCGAAUCAGUUGGUCGGGGGUUCGAAUCCCUCAGGGUGUGCCA
rnacentral:tRNA from 1 species